UUGGCAAUGAUGAGCUGCGCAGGGGUACGGACCCCGGCUAAUAAUGGGUGCCGGAUGCUCCCUCUGACUCCUCGACCCUUGCAUGUGGUAGGGGCUUUUGAGGAUAGAGUCAUUGGAUGCAUGAAAUAUUGCCUGAACUGAGCCAA
rnacentral:snoRNA from 1 species